UCUUUAUAUUUGACAAAACAAUCUCUGUAAGGAUACCAAACCAAAGAUCUCUGACCAAACUUCAUUUUUCAUUUGUUCUCUGUUCCGAAUUUUCGGAAGGAAUCUAUCUCGGCCAGAGUUCUAUGCAAAAUUAAAAGAAAUUUCUUGAUUUGUUGAAUUGAUUGCUCUUGUAUUAAAACAUUUCUUUUACUCUGAGGCCACGUAAAUUGAUUACUCAAGAUGCCACUUAAACUACCUUUAUUGAGGAUGAUAGGCAAAAAACAAAUCGAACAAGGAUCUCAGUGGGUUUCUUCAGCAAUGUUAUUCGGAGCAACUGCUGGGAUUGGAAUUACUUAUGCAACUGAUUGGAAAUUAGUUUUACAAUAUUUACCAUAUUAUAAUGGAAAGUUCUCAGAAGAAUAAGUUAAUUUAUAGUUUAAGAAUGUAGUUAUAAUUAUUAGUAAAUAUAAUAAUUGAAAACGUGA